AUUGAACGCUGGCGGCAGGCUUAACACGUGCAAGUCGAGCGGGGUGAUGGUGCUUGCACUAUCACUUAGCGGCGGACGGGUGAGUAAUGCUUAGGAAUCUGCCUAUUAGUGGGGGACAACAUCUCGAAAGGGAUGCUAAUACCGCAUACGUCCUACGGGAGAAAGCAGGGGAUCACUUGUGACCUUGCGCUAAUAGAUGAGCCUAAGUCGGAUUAGCUAGUUGGUGGGGUAAAGGCCUACCAAGGCGACGAUCUGUAGCGGGUCUGAGAGGAUGAGCCGCCACACUGGGACUGAGACACGGCCCAGACUCCUACGGGAGGCAGCAGUGGGGAAUAUUGGACAAUGGGGGGAACCCUGAUCCAGCCAUGCCGCGUGUGUGAAGAAGGCCUUAUGGUUGUAAAGCACUUUAAGCGAGGAGGAGGCUCUUUUGGUUAAUGCCCAAGAUGAGUGGACGUUACUCGCAGAAUAAGCACCGGCUAACUCUGUGCCAGCCGCCGCCGUAA
rnacentral:rRNA from 1 species